AUGACUGCCCUCAUGAAGCUGGCCGCCUCAGUGGCAUGAGGGAAACAGGUAGAGGGCUGGCGGGAACAUGGACGGUUGUCCACUUGGAGAAAAAUCAGCGAGCUGGGAGACAUUAUUGAACAUGCGCAUGCAUGCAGUACAAGACGUGACGAGUGCUUCCUGAUCUUGGCGUGUUAAAUGCGAACAGGAAGUGAGGCCAGGAGGACCCGACAUCAACAGGAAGUUUCCAGGGGAAACCAAUAGCAAACGGGAAACCAAGACGGCGCUGGAUAAAGGUCAGAGUUGGUUGCUGUGGCGACCGGGUAUGUGAUGGAGAGGGACAAUGGGGCUUGGCAGGUGGGCGUGGCACUAAAAACAUACAACGUCCUAGGUGGAGAGUCAAGUUGCAAUUACAACAAUGACCCAAAUGGAACAUUGACAUGUGUUUGACUGUGUAAGAAUAUAUUUUCACGCAUUUCUUGAACUAAAAUUUUUAAACUUUCGACAUGUGCAAUAGUGGAAGUUCUGCUGUAUACCGCUUGUAAAUAUAGAGCUAUCUUCUUUUGGCACUUUUAAAAGCUGACUACUAUCUUUAAUUUCAUCACAUGUCGAAUAUUGAACUUUUAUUUAUACAUCCUUUAUAGCACUCGUGUCAAACUCAAGGCCCAGGGGGCAGAUCAGGCCUGCUAUGUCAUUUUAUGUGGCCCGCAAAAGAAAAUCCUGUGUAUCGACUCGCAUGAUCCUUGCUAAACUCUGUGCAGAAAUGUCAAAUUGUCAUGUGUAAUAAAUAAAGUUGAGAUUUUGCAAUAGCUUUAUUACCCUGUUUACAUUCACUUGAACAAUAAUGGUAAUAAUGGUAUAAACAUAAGUCAGUCAAUCAUAAAUCACAUGAGAACAAGAAUGCAACCAAAUCUGGGGCUUUCAACUUUUCAUGUUUCAUGAAACAAUGACUUGUAAACACGUUGAGUGCACUUCUUAAGCACUGAACCUAAAUAAAUAAACUAUACAUCUAUUACAAAAAAAC